GACAGAGGUGCCAAGCGUUAGGCGGAAUCACUGGGCUUAAAGCGUGUGUAGGCGGAUUGGUAAGUACCUUGUGAAAUCCCACGGCUCAACCGUGGAACUGCUGGGUAUACUGGCGGUCUUGAGCCACCUAGGGGCAACUGGAACAAGCGGUGGAGCGGUGAAAUGCGUAGAUAUCGCUUGGAACGCCAACGGUGAAAACAGGUUGCUGGGGGUGUGCUGACGCUGAGACACGAAAGCCAGGGGAGCGAACGGG
rnacentral:rRNA from 1 species